rnacentral:rRNA from 1 species
AUUGAACGCUGGCGGCAUGCCUUACACAUGCAAGUCGAACGGUAACAGGUCUUCGGAUGCUGACGAGUGGCGAACGGGUGAGUAAUACAUCGGAACGUGCCCGAUCGUGGGGGAUAACGAAGCGAAAGCUUUGCUAAUACCGCAUAAGAUCUACGGAUGAAAGCAGGGGACCGCAAGGCCUUGCGCGAACGGAGCGGCCGAUGGCAGAUUAGGUAGUUGGUGGGAUAAAAGCUUACCAAGCCGACGAUCUGUAGCUGGUCUGAGAGGACGACCAGCCACACUGGGACUGAGACACGGCCCAGACUCCUACGGAAGGCAGCAGUGGGGAAUUUUGGACAAUGGGCGAAAGCCUGAUCCAGCCAUGCCGCGUGCAGGAUGAAGGCCUUCGGGUUGUAAACUGCUUUUGUACGGAACGAAAAGACUCUUUCUAAUAAAGAGGGUCCAUGACGGUACCGUAAGAAUAAGCACCGGCUAACUACGUGCCAGCAGCCGCCGUAA